rnacentral:lncRNA from 1 species
ACUUUUCAAACUUGUUUUGUUUUAUAUAACCAUGAUGUGGUGACUGGAGACCUACAUUCGACUGGGAAGAGCGAGCCGGAGCAUGUGCCGGACGCGCGCAGCAGGACGCACUCGUCACCUGUAAGUGGACCUCUGGCUCCCACCCGCGGUCACGGGGGCGAGCGAGGAACCGCCGCUGGAGACGCUCCCUCGCUGGUCGGGAGGGGCGGGCGGCGGGAGGGGACACGGGUGCGCGUGGGGCGCCCGCAGGCAGCGGAUCGGGAGGGUGGGGACGGCCGCGCGGCAGGAGGACGCACGAACCUGGUUGGUACGCGAGCUUCCCCAGACCCACCCAGCCGCCCACCCUCCCCGAGAUCGGGGCGGCCGGGGGAGCGGAGGGCGCCGCCCGAGCAGCGGCCGCUCCCGGGGGACGCGCGGGGCGGGGCGGGACCUGCAGGUGCAGGUGCAGGGGCGGGGCCCGGGGGGGCUGCGCGGCAGGUGCCGGGGCCCGACCCCACGCUCUGCCCUGCCCUCCCCCCCAGCGCGCGAUGCCGGGUGCGGGCGCCCAGCCGGGGGUGGGGGGCGAGCCCAGCGCCCCGGGAGGCGGGAGGCGGCGCGAGCACCCGAGCCCGGGGGCGCCAACAAGUAGUUUGCGGUCGGGGGCGGCUCCCCCGGCGGGAGGCAGGGGCGACCUGGGGGCGGCGCGCGGACCUGCAGGCCCCCGCCCCGGGUGCGCGGGGGGCGCGCGGUGUGAGCCGGGGCGGGGGACCCGGGGUCCAGGGGGGCGGGGGGCGGGGGCCCGCGGCUCCCGGGGGCCUCGCCCUGCCCCGGAGCGACCCCGCUCCCCGGCCCCCGGCGCCCGCCCCCCGCGGCCGUGUGUCUGGCGGAGGGGGAUGGGGCGGGGGACGCUGGCGCUCGUCGGCCCAGACGCGGAGCCUGCUUAGCGGUUCCCUUUCCCAAGUAAUAAUAACAUCAACAACAGCAGCGGCAGCCACGGUAGUGAUGUGCGGAGGAAACUGGAUCAGGAAAUUAGUCACGGUCUCCCUGGUGAGAGGCCGCGGCGGGGAGGUUCGGUGCUUGGCCUCGGGCGGGGGGUGUCGCCGGGUCGUGGGGGCGCGGGGCGCCGCCGGCCGUGCGGGUCAGGGUCCGGGUCGGGGUCCGGGUCGGGGUCCGUGCAUGGGGGCCCAGCGGGCCGAGGGGCCCGCAGAGACUCCCCGCCCAAGGGGCUGCCCCGGGCCGGGAGGGGACGGGGUCGGGGGGGGGGAGUGGGCGGCAAGGGGGGCGUGA